ACGACGCUGGCGGCGUGCUUAACACAUGCAAGUCGAACGGUGAACCAGAGCUUGCUCUGGGGAUCAGUGGCGAACGGGUGAGUAACACGUGGGCAACCUGCCCCAGACUCUGGGAUAACUCCGGGAAACCGGAGCUAAUACCGGAUAUGACUACUUCGGACAUCCGACGGUAGUGGAAAGUUUUUCGGUCUGGGAUGGGCCCGCGGCCUAUCAGCUAGUUGGUGGGGUAAUGGCCUACCAAGGCGACGACGGGUAGCCGGCCUGAGAGGGCGACCGGCCACACUGGAACUGAGACACGGUCCAGACUCCUACGGAAGGCAGCAGUGGGGAAUAUUGCACAAUGGGCGAAAGCCUGAUGCAGCGACGCCGCGUGAGGGACGACGGCCUUCGGGUUGUAAACCUCUUUCAGCAGGGACGAAGCGAAAGUGACUGUACCUGCAGAAGAAGCACCGGCUAACUACGUG
rnacentral:rRNA from 1 species